CCUACGGGUGGCAGCAGUGAGGAAUAUUGGUCAAUGGACGCAAGUCUGAACCAGCCAUGCCGCGUGCAGGAAGACGGCUCUAUGGGUUGUAAACUUCUUUUGUACGAGGGUAAACGCAGAUACGCGUAUCUGUCUGCAAGUAUCGUACGAAUAAGGAUCGGCUAACUCCGUGCCAGCAGCCGCGGUAAUACGGAGGAUUCAAGCGUUAUCCGGAUUUAUUGGGUUUAAAGGGUGCGUAGGCGGUCGUAUAAGUUAGAGGUGAAAUCCCGAGGCUCAACUUCGGAAUUGCCGCUGAUACUGGACGGCUAGAGAGUAGUUGAGGUAGGCGGAAUGUGUGGUGUAGCGGUGAAAUGCUUAGAGAUCACACAGAACACCGAUUGCGAAGGCAGCUUACCAAGCCAUUUCUGACGUUGAGGCACGAAAGCGUGGGGAGCAAACAGGAUUAGAUACCCUUGUAGUC
rnacentral:rRNA from 1 species